rnacentral:tRNA from 1 species
GCGGACGUGGCGGAACUGGCAGACGCACCAGGUUUAGGUCCUGGCGCCCUCACGGGCUUGGGGGUUCGACUCCCCCCGUCCGCA